GAGUGUGCAGGUUGAACUCGUGUU
rnacentral:siRNA from 1 species